GGGGCUGAUUCUGGAUUCGACGGGAUUUGCGAAACCCAAGGUGCAUGCCGAGGGGCGGUUGGCCUCGUAAAAAGCCGCAAAAAAAUAGUCGCAAACGACGAAACCUACGCUUUAGCAGCUUAAUAACCUGCUUAGAGCCCUCUCUCCCUAGCCUCCGCUCUUAGGACGGGGAUCAAGAGAGGUCAAACCCAAAAGAGAUCGCGUGGAUGCCCUGCCUGGGGUUGAAGCGUUAAAACGAAUCAGGCUAGUCUGGUAGUGGCGUGUCCGUCCGCAGGUGCCAGGCGAAUGUAAAGACUGACUAAGCAUGUAGUACCGAGGAUGUAGGAA
rnacentral:tmRNA from 1 species